GAUGAACGCUGGCGGCGUGCCUAAUACAUGCAAGUAGAACGCUGAAGGAGGAGCUUGCUCUUCUGGAUGAGUUGCGAACGGGUGAGUAACGCGUAGGUAACCUGCCUGGUAGCGGGGGAUAACUAUUGGAAACGAUAGCUAAUACCGCAUGACAACAGUUAUUGCAUGAUAACUGUUUAAAAGGGGCAACUGCUCCACUACCAGAUGGACCUGCGUUGUAUUAGCUAGUUGGUGAGGUAACGGCUCACCAAGGCGACGAUACAUAGCCGACCUGAGAGGGUGAUCGGCCACACUGGGACUGAGACACGGCCUAGACUCCUACGGGAGGCAGCAGUAGGGAAUCUUCGGCAAUGGACGGAAGUCUGACCGAGCAACGCCGCGUGAGUGAAGAAGGUUUUCGGAUCGUAAAGCUCUGUUGUAAGAGAAGAACGAGUGUGAGAGUGGAAAGUUCACACUGUGACGGUAUCUUACCAGAAAGGGACGGCUAACUACGUG
rnacentral:rRNA from 1 species